CGAAAGUGACGCGCGUCCCCGCCACUACCGCACGAGCAUAACAACCGGCCGGGACCGUUGACAAACACUGCUGUUCACCAUGGAGCGAAAAGUGGCUAGGGAAUUUCGACAUAAGGUGGAGUUAUUGGUUGAUAAUGAAGCAGAGAAGGACUAUCUCUAUGAUGUUCUACGCAUGUACCACCAAUCGAUGGAACUGCCUGUCCUGGUCGGCGACCUGAAGCUGGUGAUUAAUGAGCCCAAACGCCUUCCACUCUUUGAUGCCAUCAGACCCUUGAUUCCUCUAAAACACCAAGUGCAGUAUGACCAGCUCACGCCCAAGAGAUCCAGAAAGUUGAAGGAAGUGCGUCUGGACCGCACACACCCUGAGGGUCUGGGUUUGAGCGUUCGAGGUGGGCUGGAGUUCGGCUGUGGUCUCUUUAUCUCACAGACAGUCAAAGAUGGACAGGCAGGAAAUGUUGGGCUACAGGUUGGCGAUGAGAUCGUGCGCAUUAACGGCUACUCCAUCUCCUCUUGCAUUCACGAGGAGGUCAUCAACCUCAUCAAAACCAAGAAGACCGUCUCUCUGAAAGUCCGCCAUGUGGGAAUGAUUCCUGUCAAAAGCUCCUCCGAAGACCCUCUGAAGUGGCAGUUUGUGGAUCAGUUUGCUUCGGAGUCAGGGGAGAAGAAGACCAGCGUGGCUGGUUUGACUUCAAUUGGAGGAAAAGAGAUCAAGGAAAAGAAAGUGUUCCUUAGUUUAGUGGGCACUAAAGGCAUGGGAAUCAGCAUAUCAAGUGGACCAACACAGAAACCAGGGAUCUAUGUGAGCAAUGUGAAGGCAGGGUCACUCUCUGCAGAAGUGGGUUUACAGGUCGGCGACCAGAUUGUUGAAGUCAAUGGGGUGGAUUUUGCCAACCUGAGUCACCAAGAAGCAGUGCAAGUGUUAAAGAGCAGCCGCAGCCUGACCAUCACUGUUCUCACUGGAGCUGGAAGCGAGCUGUUUAUGACAGAUGAGGAGCGCUUGGCGGCUGAAGCUCGACAUCAGCUUCAGAGACAGGAGCUAAUGCAUCAGAAGAAAGUGGCAUUAGAGACCAACAAGAUCAUCAAAGAACAACAGGAGAACGAACGAAUGAGGAAGAUGGAGAUAACACAGAAGACUGCAGAGGAAGAGGAACGCUAUCAGAAAGACAUGGAGAGAAUUCAAGCAGCAGAGAGGAAACACCAUAAAGAAUGGGAAGAAGACUGGGGCUCCAAGGAAAAAUCCAAAACUCCCUCACGGUCCCCAUCCCGCUCUCCCUCCCCCCAACCGCCGGCACACCGCUCACCUUCACCAAAACCUAAAACCUCAAGCGCCGAGCACUCAGAUGAAGAGGAGGAAGCAGAAGGAUUCCAGAAAUAUGUGGAUGAUUUUGAUCCAUAUUCAAUGUUCACGGCUGAGCAGAUAGCUGGAAGAGAUGUGCGACUACUGAGAAUUAAGAAGGACGGAAAGCUCGAUCUGGCUAUAGAGGGAGGCAUUGACUCCCCACUGGGAAAGAUUGUGGUGUCGUCCAUCUAUGAAGGAGGUGCAGCAGAUAAACACGGUGGUGUUGUGGCCGGUGAUGAGAUCAUGGCUGUGAAUGGAAAGAUACUGACAGAUGGGACUUUGGCUGAAGGACAGACCUCAAUGGCUCAAGCCUGGAACAGUGGAGGGUAACCUCAUAGCAAUGCUAAAGCAACCACCCUAGGAAGUGAGUCCUGCAUGGGUAAGUAAUACAUAAUAAUAAUAAUAAUUUAUCCUUCAUUGUUACCGACUAUCCUAACAUUUACCCAUUAUUAAAAUUUCCAUCAUUCAUGAAAAUAACAUAUAUUUGUGUGCGUUUCACUUUUUCACUUUCACAUUUAUUUUUUUGAUUCCAUAAUGCAUACAUCUAUAAACGUGCAGACGCCUAAGCUCAUAUCUUAUUACAUUUCAUUCCAUUUGACAAAAUGAUGCAUCCUUUUCUCAAUAAUGAACCCAUUAUGCAGUGUAAUAGUCUAGUCCUACAGAUUUAAUGUUUUAUGUCUCCCCCCAAAAAAGGAUGUGUUGCAAUAAUUACUUCAUUAGGCAGCAUAAAAUAUAGAUGAAGCGUUAAAGCAGAAAAUUGCGUUGCAACAUAUUAUGCCGUUGUGUGUUAAAUUUAUCAUGCCAGGCUGAUGUCGAUGCUGUCUUCUACAAUCAUAUAAGUGUGGUUUUGAGUAAAAGAAUACUUUUGAGAUUACAUUUGAUAGGGGAAUUAUAUUUGACUUUAUCAGACUCUUGAUGUGUUUGUUUCUUUAUGUGUGUGAUCAGGACUGGAUAGACUUGGUGAUCGCAGUGUCCCCGCCCAAGGAAUAUGAAGACGAAGUAACAUUCUUUUGAGGACCUGUCAAUGAAACCACAGUGAACAGAAAAUCCCAUGACGAAUCAGAAGAUAGUUUUUAUAUUUUGCACAUCCUUCACUUAUUGUGCAUUAACUGUGCAGAUACGAAUUGAAUAAAUGAAGUAAAAUACA